CACCUCGUAUCUCCUCAUUCCCGACAUGUCCUGGGCUCCGAACGUCUCCUGGGGAGCGGCAUGAUUGAAUCAGGGAUUCCCUAGCCCCAGGUCCCCUUCUCCGUCAUUCUCAGGACGAGGCUGCCCAGUUCUCAGCUUCCUUUACAGACUCCCUGAGACCUGCUCAUUGAUCCCUGCCAUGCCCCUCACCUUACCGUUUAACCUCUGCCCCAUUUUACUCACUCCUGGCAAGAAAACCAGUAUGCUGAGAAGAGGAGUGGUGCCAUACAAGAGGCCAUGGAGGAUGAGCAGAGAUGGACAAAUGAGGAGAGUCCCUGGGAGCAGCAGCAAUAGAAAACCAAUACAAGGCUGGAUGCAGUGGCUCAUGCCUGUAAUCUCAGCACUUUGGAGGACAAGGUGGGCAGAUCACCUGAGGUCAGGAGUUCGAGACCAGCCUGGCCAACAUGGUUGUUGUGGUGGUAUUACUACUACUCAGCAAGAUUCUGGUUUUACUUCUCAUCUUGGGAAUUACCACCUUGACGUUAGGUAUGGCUGUGUGACCCACUUUGGCCAAUGAAAUGUGAACAGAAAUGGCAUAUGUCACUUGUGGACAAAAACAUUUAAGCAAUAAUUUCCCUGGCUGUCUUCCUUGACUGGAGCGACCAUGGAAGCCUGUGUUGAGAUGAAGAAGCAUGCCAACAGAUCAAAACACUUGAAAACUUGAGCAGCCACGUGGACUACAGCUGUGCUGGAGACUUGCCUGGACCCACAGCAGGCUUGGAGAAGUAAUGCCUGGAUGUGAGAAAGAAAAAGAACUUCACAAAGGAUACCAGCUGAAGCUUAAGACGUAGUUCACAGAGAUGAGGUCUUGCUGUGUUGCCCAGUCUGGUCUUGAACUCCCGGGCUCAAGUGAUCCUCCUGCCUUGGCCUCCCAAAGUGCUGGAAUUAUAGGUUUUUGCUCUGUUACCCAGGCUGGAGUGCAGUGGCGUGAUCAUGGCUCACUGGAGCCUCAACCUCCUGGACUCAAGCAAUCCUCCUGCCUCAGCUUCCCAGGUAGCUGGGACCAUGGACAUGCACCACCACACUCAGCUAAUUUUUGGAUUUUUUUUUAUAGAGACGAGGUCUCACUUUAUUGCCCGGGUUGGUCUUGAACUCGUAGGCUCAGGUGAUCCUCCCACCUCAGCCUCCUAAAGUGUUGGGAUUACAGGCGUGAGCCUAUGUUUAGUUUUUUUGGGGAAUCUCCAUACUGGUCUCCAUAGUAGCUGUACUAAUUUAUAUUGCCACCAUCAGUGUACAAGGGUUCUCUUUUUCUCCACAUCCUUGCCAGCAUUCAUUAUUGCCUGUCUUUUGGAUAAAAGCCAUUUUAACGGGUGAGAUGAUAUCUCAGUGUAGUUGUGAUUUGCAUUUCUCUGAUGAUCACUGACGUUGAGCACCUUUUCACAGACCUGUUUGCAAUUUGUAUGUCUUCUUUUGAGGUAUGUCUUCUUUUGAGAAAUGUCUUUUCAGAUCUUUUGUCCAUUUUUCAGUAGGAUUAUUAGAUUUUUUUUUCUAAUGAGUUGUUUGAGCUCCUUAUAUGUUCUGGUUAUUAAUCCCUUGUCCAGAUGAAUAGUUUGUAAAUAUAUUUUCUCCCAUUCUGAGGUUGUCUCUUCAUUUUGUUGAUUGUUUCCUUUGCUGUGCAGAAGUUUUUUAACUUGAUGUGAUCCCAUUUGUCCACUUUUGCUGCUUUGGCUGUCUGUGCUUAUGGGGUAUUGCUCCACAAAGAAAUCUUUGCCCCCAGACCAAUUUCCUGGAGAGUUUCCUCAAUACUCAUGUAUCUUUCAGAAUUAAUUUAGCACGGGAAGCGUAAAUAAAUUGAUAUAUUUUCUUCAUAAAUGGAAACAUGCUAGAUACUGUUUUCCCUUUUACUUUUAAUUAUUAUGAAUAUAUCUUCUGUAUAUAAUUUUCUUUAAUGUUUGUACAGUCUUCUUUGGUAAAACUAUAACAUGACUUAUUUUCAAUCCUAUAUCCAUGGAUAUUUCUUUUUUUUUUUUUUUUUUUUUUGCGACGGAGUCUCACUCUGUCGCCCAGGCUGGAGUGCAGUGACGCAAUCUUGGCUCACUGCAAGCUCCGCCUCCCGGGUUCACGCCAUUCUCCUGCCUCAGCCUCUCCGAGCAGCUGGGACUACAGGCGCCCGCCACCACGCCCGGCUAAUUUUUUUUGUAGUUUUAAUAGAGACGGGGUUUCACCGUGGUCUCGAUAUCCUGACCUCGUGAUCCACCCGCCUCGGCCUCCCACAGUGCUGGGAUUACAAGCGUGAGCCACCGUGCCUGGCCAUAUCAAUGGAUAUUUUUUUUAAGUUUUUUUGUUCUACCAAAUAACACUGACAUGAACCUCAUGUGUAUAAGUUCUUGUACACUGGUAUGAGUAUAUAACUAGGAGAAAUUCCUAAGAGUUGAAUUAAUGGGUCAAAAGCUAUGUGUAUUUUAAAUGUUGAUAUUGCAUAAUUGCCUACCAAUUGAAUGAAUUUGCAUUCUCACCAAAACUCUGUAAGGGUGCCUCUCUUCCUAUGCUUGUUGACUCAAUAUUAUCAAAUUUUUUGGUCUUUGUCGAAAUGAGAAGUGAAAAUUUGUAUUUUAUAUAUUUAUAAAUUUGUUUGAAUGUACGA